UAUGACCAUGUCACAUUGAAACACCAGUUCCUGUAUAAUCAGCAAAGUUAAGCAACAUUGAGCCUAGUCAGUACCUAGAUGGAUGACUGCUUGGGAAUACCAGGUGCUGUAAG